rnacentral:piRNA from 1 species
GCAUGAGCGAUCUAUGCCUUAAGGACAUGU